rnacentral:rRNA from 1 species
GAUGAACGCUAGCGGCAGGCCUAACACAUGCAAGUCGAGGGGCAGCAUAAAACAAGCGUGCUUGUUUGGUGGCGACCGGCGCACGGGUGCGUAACGCGUAGGCAACCUACCCUGUACUGGGGGAUAUCCCGGAGAAAUUCGGAUUAAGACCCCAUGGUAUUAUCGUUUCGCAUGUUAUGAUAAUUAAAGUUUACGGUACAGAAUGGGCAUGCGUCAUAUUAGAUAGAUGGUGAGGUAACGGCUCACCAUGGCGACGAUAGGUAGUGGGCCUGGGAGGGUGGACCCCCACGCUGGUACUGAGACACCGACCAGACUCCUACGGGAGGCAGCAGUGAGGAAUAUUGGUCAAUGGUCGCAAUCGUGAACCAGCCAUGCCGCGUGCAGGAAGAAGGUCCUAUGGAUUGUAAACUGCUUUUAUUUGGGAAUAAACCUCUUUACGUGUAGAGAGCUGAAGGUACUAUAAGAAUAAGCACCGGCUAACUCCGUGCAAGCCGCCGCCGUAAUAC